rnacentral:rRNA from 1 species
AUGCCGAUGCUAGCAGUCUUGAUGGAGUUUGCAAUGGAUAGUUGCCACUUGGGUGCCCCUUUGAAUUUCAACCAACAAUGCACGAGGCAAGAUAUGUUGAGAGCCAACACAUUGACUCAAUCAGAGAGGCAAGAUAUGUUGGGAAUCGACACUUCGACGAGUCAUAUAGUUGCUUUCAUCGCCAAGGUCGUCGGCGCCACUCUGGUGCAUCCAUCAUCGUGGUGCCACCAUAGCCUAUGUUUCCUGCUCGCUUCCUUCCUCUACCAUCAACCAAUUCACACUUGCAAGCAUGUGUUCCUAAUGGUAUCUAGUCUAAAUAGGAGACACAGAUGUAGUCACGUGGAUAAGAGCAUCUCCAAUAGUGACCCGCAAACUGGACACCGCAUCCGUUCACGGAUUAAAGGGGGCCAGUUCGUGGACAUUGAUGCGAUAGUCGGCAAUUGA